CGGGACGGGUGAGUAAUGCUUGGGAAUCUAGCUUAUGAGGGGGGAUAACUACGGGAAACUGUAGCUAAUACCGCGUAGAAUCGGGAGAUGAAAGUGUGGGACCUUCGGGCCACAUGCCAUAGGGUGAGCCCAAGUGGGAUUAGGUAGUUGGUGAGGUAAAGGCUCACCAAGCCGACGAUCUCUAGCUGGUCUGAGAGGAUGACCAGCCACACUGGGACUGAGACACGGCCCAG
rnacentral:rRNA from 1 species